UGCCAGCCGCCGCGGUAAUACGGAGGGCGCAAGCGUUAAUCGGAUUCAUUGGGUGUAAAGGGCGCGUAGGCGGGAAGGUAAGUCAGAUGUGAAAGCCCGGAGCUUAACUCCGGAAUUGCAUCUGAAACUACUUUUCUUGAGGAUAGGCGGAGAAAACGGAAUUCCACGUGUAGCGGUGAAAUGCGUAGAUAUGUGGAAGAACACCGGUGGCGAAGGCGGUUUUCUAGCUUAUUCCUGACGCUCAGGCGCGAAAGCAAGGGGAGCGAACAGGAUUAGAUA
rnacentral:rRNA from 1 species